rnacentral:lncRNA from 1 species
CUCUUUUAUAAACAACCAGAUCUCAUGAGAAUUCACUCACUAUUACAAGAACAGAAAGGUUCUUGGUUCAUGGUUCAAUCAGCUCCUACCAGGCUCCUCCUCCAACAUUGGGGAUUACAAUUCAACAUGAAAUUUCAGCAGAGACACUGACUCAAAUCAUAUCAGGGAUAGGAAAUACGACCUGUCUCACUUUGAUCCAUAUUGAAGGCUUCGGAUUUCCUUCAUUCUCCAAGUGAUGCAAAACCAAGAUUCUCACCUAAGUGCUGAAACGACCUCAUAGCACAAAGGGGAGACAGAAAUUUUAAAAGGUAAUUAUGAAACAUAAAACAGAUGCUAAAAUGAAUAGAUGGGCAUAGACCUGUGGGACUGCAAAGCAAAACAAAUUAUUAAGGGUUUGAUGGUCAGUGUUAUCUAAACAUUGUGUAAACUUUUAAAUGUUUAUGAAUCCCAUCUCAGAGGUGUAACUAAUAUUUGUUUGUGUGUGUGUGUGUGUGUGUGAUACACUGAGCAACUGUAUACCACCUAGCAAGUGGCAUUCUUGCUUAGCGACUUACACUGGCCU